rnacentral:rRNA from 1 species
UGGGGAAUAUUGGACAAUGGGCGCAAGCCUGAUCCAGCCAUGCCGCGUGAGUGAUGAAGGCCCUAGGGUUGUAAAGCUCUUUCACCGGUGAAGAUAAUGACGGUAACCGGAGAAGAAGCCCCGGCUAACUUCGUGCCAGCAGCCGCGGUAAUACGAAGGGGGCUAGCGUUGUUCGGAUUUACUGGGCGUAAAGCGCACGUAGGAGGACUAUUAAGUCAGGGGUGAAAUCCCGGGGCUCAACCCCGGAACUGCCUUUGAUACUGGUAGUCUUGAGUUCGAGAGAGGUGAGUGGAAUUCCGAGUGUAGAGGUGAAAUUCGUAGAUAUUCGGAGGAACACCAGUGGCGAAGGCGGCUCACUGGCUCGAUACUGACGCUGAGGUGCGAAAGCGUGGGGAGCAAACAGG